UGGUUCUGGGAAUCUACCACAAAGUUCCUCACAUCGCUACCAUGGCCCUGGUUGUUGACUCCCUCGAGGCUAUACUGUUCUUAGAUCGGAUCUAGCUGGAUGUGUGAAAAAAGUGUGAAACGGCAUUGGUUGCAGAUGAGGACAAGUGAAUGAUCCUGCCUUCCCUAAAGGGGUCGUAAGAAGGGGAAAGAGCUACUAUAAACUGUCCCAUCCUACACGGUGAACUGAUCUGCGGCGCUAUUUCUCCAAUGGACUGUCCUGGACCUUGGAACAUGAAACAACAUUUAACGAUUAACACAAAACAAUGACAGACUCGACUCUCCCCAGCCUCGACUCAGUCGAGGUUUGGGAGUCAAGGAUGUCAUUUUAUUUAGUAACCAAAAAUUUACGUUUCUUCACCCGCCAUCAUCUUUUCGACCUCUGGAUACAUCUCAACCGCCGUUCGUCAGUCAAGGACCCCGAAGAAUCAUCCGGAAGCUUCUGAGACUCCUGUUCUUAAGAGACUCAGGACUCCGGAUUUCGGUUGUAUUGGCGACUGCCUGAAGAAAAAGGAUAUUUUUUGCGUCCGCCCGACUGUUGCUCCUUUAUCUCGAUCGCAAAUCUUCCAGUCUGCUUGGACUAGCUGAUGUCGUCGUGCAAGAAACAAAAUCUUUCUGCUGUUCGCCUACCGGUCAGACGAGGACUUCAAAAAGGUCUAUGGGAAGAGGAAAAUCCUGUUGGAGCCUGGUGCGUUCCCAUUUGUAUUUGAAAAAUUGGGCGCCAAUAUUGUUACGUCCCAAAAUAGGACUACGUGUGUCCGCGAGUGAGCAUCGCCGGCUAGCUGUAGAGCACUUGGGGUGUGGGUACUCCAACCCUGCCCACACACGCAACAAUAAACAAACAGAUGAUUGUACUUUACAACACUUCACGCUGCAACAGCUGUCUUACUACUGGGCCAAAACAUCGACGAAGUGUGCACAGCUAUAAGACUAA